GAUCACUGUCCCGGGGAGCCUGUUCAACCAUUCUCUGGUGAAGAAUCUUUUCCUGACAUGCAAUCUGAGCCUUCCCUGUUGCAGCUCAAUGCUGUCCCCUUGGGUUCUAUCACUGGAAUGCAUGUUAUUUUUCCCCAGCCUUGAUUGAUACCAAAGAAAAAUCAUCUGAAAAGCCACAAAAUCAUAAGCUAUCUAGCCAUAAAACAGUAUAGCUGAAUGUUGUUUAGAGCUGUUCACAUACUCAUAUGCUUUCAACCCAACUAUUUAUAUUUUUAUUCUCUCACCCAUUCAUUAUUUCACAUACUCUGCCACUGACCUAUCCAAUGCAUUAUAUCUUGGUCUGCAAACUUCCCUGUUCCUGCUCUGACUAAAUACCUGCCACCUGUUCACUCACUCUUGAACUUCUCUGUCCCAGCUUCAGACCCAGCUUCCUGGACAGCUCCAGUCUGCCUUCAUACCUUGCUCUUCCCCUGCUCUGCAACUUGUUUCUUCCUGAGGUCCUUAAUUAGGACCUUCCUUAAAGUCCUUAAUUAAGGACUUUAAGAGCAGUCUGUUGUUAAAGCUUUCUUUAACUUUUCCUUAAUAGCUUUUUUCUGUUUUUCCCCAGCACAGCUUUGAUUCAGUUUACCUAGUGUAUAUGCCCCUGAAUGUGAUUUCAGGAUUAGGUAUACUGUGAUUGAGGCACUCAUUACAUAUUAUUAUUUCAUUGCAUACAUUAUAUGUUCUUUUGAAGGUUAUUAUGCUUAUAAUGGAGCUUUUAAGAAGUAUGUUUUAUGCAUGCAUUUAGAAUGUCAAUUAUAAAGUUGCUGUGGACAUUCCUUGAUAGUUACUCACUACACGAUCCCAUUGCAGCACCAUGUGUUAUUUGAAGGAUGAUGAUCAUCUUUAGCAAAACAAAUCCAGUUAUAAUAACUGUGAGGAUCAAUGACUUUAGCCGUACUCUACCAAUUCACGUACAAACCAGACCAAUGUUAUAGACCUCUGGAAAACCUCCCAGACUGAAAGCAGCACAUCUGUGGGCCAUUUGUUUUCAAAAACUAUGAAAGAUAUUACUUGUAAUAGGAACUGAUCGGAAUUUUCAGUGGUGCCAUUUCUGUUACUUGUUUUGUAUUUCUAACUGCUACUGUUACAGCAUUUUCAAUGCCUUAAUGCUGUGGGUAAUACAAUUGCCUUGAAAGGAGACCCUGAACCCUACUGAGAUACUGGUAUUUGCACAAAGUCCAGACACCAAUCCCUGUUUUCCCUCCAACCCUUAGAUCUGCGAGACAUAUCAAAACAGUCUGUAAGCUUUACUGAGACUGGAGACUGAAAACUAUGCUGUACGAUGAACAGUAUGAUUUAUAAAGGUGGUGAGAUCUAGCCUAGGUAUGCACAGCAAAAGCAGCGGGCUUUCUGCCUGGAUGCUGGACUUCACUACAGCUCCUUGGUGCUGCUCUGGGCUUUGGGAAGAUCAUACAGACCAUAAGCUCCCUGGGAAUGCCUGGCAAACUCCUGUGAUUUUCCUCAUCUGUUCUAAGAACUGCCUGGAAUUUGUACAAUGCAAAAGAAGUUAAGAAACAUAAUUUCUUCCCUUGAAAUAUCAUGUCAUAGCUAUGUCCCUCAGGAGUUGCUUAGCCUUACCUAUUCCUGGAAGGUUUCACUGCUGUAUUAAUACCUGCAGCCACCCCAGAGGAGAAUGCAGGCAUCAGGGAUGCCUGGCAGAGCCAAAAAUGCAGCCCCAAUAGAAGUUAAGUUAAAAAAAGGAGCCAGUUCAGUCAGGGUAAAGCAGUGCCCUUUGAGGAUACAAGAAAGGAUAAGAAGAAAUAAGAUAUAAGAAAUAAUGUAAUAUGAAAUAAUAAGAAAUAAUGGAUAUAAGAAAUAAUAGAUAACUUUUUGGAGUUUUGAUUUUUAAUUGAAUGUGAAACCAAAUACAACACCCCAAUCUUGCCAGUAGAAAAUUGGAUGGCAAGAGCUAUAGUUUGGUACAAGAUUUGAGGGCAAUUAAUAGAAUUGUUGAAGAUAUACACCUAGUGGUGGCAAAUCCAUACAAUUCAUUAACCAGGUUAAGGAAUUAGUAGGUGUGGUUUACUGUUCUGGAUUUGAAGAAUGGCUUUUUCUGCCUGGUUUUGCCAAAGAAAGUCUCCUUUGAGUAGGAAAACCCCAAUACAGGGAGAAAAGACUCAGUUAACUUGGACAGUGUUACCCAGGGUUGUAAGAACAGCUCAAAGAUUUUUGAGAACCAGACAGCUUGUGACCCCGAGACUUGGGUUCCUCCAUCCCAAGGUGGAAUUUUACUGCAGUAUGUGGAUGCCACAGUAACAAAAGAGGACUGUGUACAAUAGACUGUGAAUGUGCUGAAUUCUCUUUGUGUAAAUGGUUAUCGAGUUUCUCAACAGAAAGCCUAACUGAUCAUAGAGACGUUGGAACAGGAUGGAAAGAAGCAAUUUGCCAAACACCCAGAACACUGACACAGGGCUGCCUCUGAGCCAGCAGUGCGUGACUGCUUGGAGACUAUGUCAGCUGGCCAGACCUACAGGAGGAAGCACUGGACAAUGCUGAGGAUUCCUGAAUUCAUUGACGGAAGCAGUUUUGUAAGACAAAGAAACCAUAAAGCAAGUUAUGCAGUAGCUACUACUGACAAGGUAACCAAAAGAAAACCAUUACCUGUGGGGACUUCUGCCCAGAAGGCUGAAAUAACUGCCUUGACAAAAGUCUUAAAUAUAUGGACAGAUUCUAAGUUUGCAUUUGGGAUGGUACACACUCAAAGUACCAUCUGGAAAGAUUGAAGAUCACUGACACACAAUGAAAACAAAUUCAGUAUGAUGUAAAUCUACUGAAAAGCAUGGCUGUUAUACAUUGUAAAAGACAUCAGAAAGGUCACUGUACAGGAAAUUGGAAGUAAGAGGGUGGAUCAGGUGGCAAAACAGUCAGCUGAAGGGAAAAAAAAUGGUGAACUGGCUUUAAUUCCAGAUGGUAAGCUUCAGAUUUCUGAACCUGCGUCAGAACCUGUGAAGUAUUCUAGAGAGGACAGGAAUCUAAUUAAUGAUUUAGAAUGGAAGAGAUCCAGCUGACAGAUGGGUGUAUACUCAGAUGGACGCAUUGUUGUACCCCUUAGUAUCUUAUGGCAAUUGAUUCUAAGGGCAUAUAGUAUAACAUACUGGAGGGGAUAGACACUCUUUUUAAGUAUUUGAACAAAGUAAUUGUACAAUCCUAGUAGCAGGAAGUGGGUGCAAGUGGGGCCUAUUGAGAAAGGGAACCUUCUAGGACAACAAUGGUAACUUGAUCAGAAUUUUCUAGAAAAGGGGGUUAUUGGUACUUAUUAAUGCUGACAGACAGUUUUUCAGGUUGUCAAGAAGCUUUUCCUCAAAGGACAGACAAGGAAAGGGAGGUUUCACAGAUAUAAUUGAAAGAAAUAAUGCCUAGGCUUGGGUGCCUGACAUGAUAUCAAAGGAUAAGAGUACUCAUUUUUGUUAACAGGUAUAACAACACAUUAGAAAGCUCCUGAGAAUCAACUGGCAACUACACAUCCCUCAUAGGCCCUAAGCAAGCAGUCAGGUAGAGAAGAUGAACUUACUUAAACAACAGAUAGCCAUCCUACAAAUAAGGGUCAGGUCUUGGACUCAAGCCAGGGGACUGGAUCAUCCAAUCCAUUCUAUAAAUCCAGAGGGUAUAUGUUAAGAAUUUUCCAAGGGAUCCACUGGAAGAGAAGUGUUAGGAAUCUGUUAAUUGAAAGACCAACAGCUUUCCAAAGUUUUGUGAGGUGGUACAUACCCUCCCUUGGGGUUAGCAAAUUGGAGAAGGUGAUUGUCAAUAUUUUGGCCACCAUGGAACAAACAGAGAAUGCAAAUGCAAGAGCCCGAGAAAAUCUGCAAGUAGAAGAUUCAUCCCUAAGCAAGAUAGUGUAACAGAACUGAGAAGCCCUAGACCUAUUAGCAGCUGAAGAAGGAGCUGUAUGUGCACUAAUUAAUUCUAGUUGUUAUGCCUAUAUCAAUAAAGAAAAAGAGGUAGAAAUGGAUAUACAAGCAAUCUGGGAAAAAAGCAGCCUAUUAGAUCAGGUGGCCCAGAAUGAUACUUUAUUUGGGUUUACAAACACAUGGAAUAAACUCACUAGCUGGCUUCCUAAAU
ensembl:lncRNA